ensembl:lncRNA
AUGCUGAAGUGGCAGAGAGUGAGACACGUGUUGUUCUGGCGUACGUGGGUUCUGCAAUCUGAUAUUGAAUACUGUAUCCUGCAUCAUCAACACGGAUUCAUCAUGGCCUACAGCACACGCACGCACACACAUACAUGCCAGUCUGGAGCUCCUUCACUCUGGACAAAACCGCUGAAAGUUCUCUGGUUGUCUCUGAUUGUCUCCGGGCAGACGUCAGGAUUCCAGCCAAUCAGAGCACGACAUGUGACCAGUACAACAAUGCUGGCAACAUCACACAUGCCUUCUUGUUCCCACCCUGGGUGUGUGUGUGUGCGUGUGUGUGUGUGUGUGUGUGUGUGUGUGUGUGUCUUACUGUGAAAAUUUCAUCGAUGCAUUUUAAUAUUUUACCUUUUUUUGGACCUGGUAACAUAUUAAUUAGAAUGUCAUAACUGGAUCUUCUCUCUAUGCUUGAUUUCUCCAAUUAUUUAGCACUUUUAAACUCCACCCCUUGAAGCUUACAUGUUUUAACAUCCAAUUGACAACUGAUAAUUAGAAUUAAGUCAUGCACUAAAUAUAUUCUUUUUAGUGCUGUCAAACGAUUAAUCGUGAUUAAUCGCAUCCAAAAUAAAAGUUUUUGUUUACAUAAUAUAUGUGUAUAC